CAUCCAUAGGUGAAAAUAUAAAAUAAAUAUGCUGUCCAUCCAUAGGUGAAAAUAUAAAAUAAAUAUGCUGUCUAUCCAGAGGUGAAAAUAUAAAAUAAAUAUGCUGUCCAUCCAUAGGUGAAAAUAUAAAAUAAAUAUGCUGUCCAUCCAGAGGUGAAAAUAUAAAAUAAAUAUGCUGUCCAUCCAGAGGUGAAAAUAUAAAAUAAAUAUGCUGUCUAUCCAGAGGUGAAAAUAUAAAAUAAAUAUGCUGUCUAUCCAGAGGUGAAAAUAUAAAAUAAAUAUGCUGUCUAUCCAGAGGUGAAAAUAUAAAAUAAAUAUGCUGUCUAUCCAGAGGUGAAAAUAUAAAAUAAAUAUGCUGUCCAUCCAGAGGUGAAAAUAUAAAAUAAAUAUGCUGUCCAUCCAGAGGUGAAAAUAUAAAAUAAAUAUGCUGUCUAUCCAGAGGUGAAAAUAUAAAAUAAAUAUUCUGUCCAUCCAGAGGUGAAAAUAUAAAAUAAAUAUGCUGUCCAUCCAGAGGUGAAAAUAUAAAAUAAAUAUU